AGAAUCAACGCUGGCGGCGUGCCUAACACAUGCAAGUCGAACGAGAAAGGGUAGCAAUACCUGAGUAAAGUGGCGCACGGGUGAGUAACACGUGACUAACCUACCUUUUAGUGGGGGAUAACCUAGGGAAACCUGGGCUAAUACCGCAUAAUACCUACGGGUCAAAGCAGCAAUGCGCUGAAUGAGGGGGUCGCGGUCGAUUAGUUAGUUGGCGGGGUAAUGGCCCACCAAGACUGUGAUCGGUA
rnacentral:rRNA from 1 species